AGAAGGCAAACGUUGAUGGAACACAGAGCUUUAAUUGUCUGAAUAUGCAGCGGUGGCUUGGUAGCAGUACGUUAUAUUUAUAUUCAACAGUAUUUGUCACAUUAAUGUUGUUUUGUGCCAUUUUAAACUGAGAAAAUUUAAAAGAUAAGAAUACAGAAACUACAUAUAAGUAUAUUUUCAAGUUCAAGUUAAAAUCAUGUUAGAAAAUGAACAAAUGUUACAAAUUUUUAGCUUUUAGCUGCUAAAGUUGUCGACCAGGUCAAAAAGUUCUACAAAAUGCUGAAACAAAAAUCUAAUCAUCUGUAGAAUGGGGAUUGAACAAGUCAUUUUGAUGCUGUAAGGCAAGAGUGUUAACCACUCUCCCAAGGUGUAGUUUGGCCAAGAUAAUUAUUUUCAUUAAACAUUGCAUUUCUGUAACAUUAAACUUUGAAUAAAUCCUGCUACACAUGCUGCUGUGUGUUUUCAGAUUUAUUUUGAAGGUUUCCUGGUGGGCGUGGCUUACUUCCUUUCACUUCCUGUCUUGUAGAUUGGCUGCCUCGCCCAGAUUGGAUUCACCUGUGUCCCCCCCCACCUCCCACUACUUCCAGCUUCUUGACGUGUUUAGUUUAGUUUUUUUCUUCUAGAUUCUUGGAAGUUUCUUUGUGAUUUGUUUUGGAAAGUUCCAGAUAGUUCAGAGUAUUUUUGUUACGAUUCCAAAUAAAAUCAGAAACAGCUCCAGAUCCAGCAGAGCUCAUUUUUAAACGGGCAGCCAUGUUUGAUUCCAUCAUCGACUCUCCGGCCUCUGCGUGUGGUGGUGGACGAUGACUGUGUUUGUUUCUCACAGUCUAUGGACCAGAUGCCUUUAAGGCCGACAUGAUUGAUGAGGUUCCGGGCAGAUAAUGGCUCUAACUGCAUCGUUUCUUUCCAAAAUGGUUAUGAACAGUGAACGCCGAGACAUAUUCUGCACUGCUGAGACAACAAAGACAACAGGAGCGCCAUCUGCUGCUGGGGAUGACCAAGGUGUUGACACGGAGUGGACCUGGAUCAGAAGACAUCUAAGGAGGGGGUUGAAUCCAAACGCCAUCCCUGACGUGUGAACAAAGGCAGCCCUUCACGCCAAUCUGGUGUCUCAGGUUGAAGAGAUAAACGGCGCUCUUCUGAGAAAAAGAGAAAGUGCAGUCGAACAUCUACGCCAUCGCUCCACUUGCUGAUUCAUCUUGGUGGUACAGUGUCGUCCUUCAUCUCUGAGGCUCCCUGAUCUGUGACUUCUAACAAGACUCUGGGCCAAACCUGAUUGGCUGAUGGAUUCGACUUGGUAUGAGAUGAAGAAGAUGAACUGACACCAUCCAGACAUCGCCCUGUAUCUGCCAGACUCUGCAGACGGACAGGACAGAAGAAGAGGUCAAAGGUCAAAAGACUAAAGUACAGCAACGUUCAAGGAUCGAUGAAGGACACUGCGAUGUAUCUGGUACCGUUGGUUGUUGGCAGACCUUCGUGCAGGUGAGU